rnacentral:tRNA from 1 species
GGCCCACUCGUCUAUCGGCUAGGACACAGCCUUUUCAUGGCUGUUAGUGGAGUUCGACUCUCCAGUGGGCUGCCA